UUAAGAGAUGGGAAUCCCAGACCACCUGACCUGCCUCCUGAGAAAUCUGUAUGCAGGUGAAGAAGCAACAGUUAGAACUGGACAUGAAACAACGGACUGGUUCCAAAUUGGGAAAGAAGUAUGUCAGGCUGUAUACUGUCACCCUGCUUAUUUAAUAUAUAUGCAGAGUACAUCAUGAAAAAUACCAGGCUGGAUGAAGCACAAGCUGGAAUCAAGAUUGUUGGGAGAAAUAUCAAUAACCUCAGAUAUACAGAUCACACCACCCUUAUGGCAGAAAGCGAAGAGGAACUGAAGAGCUUCUUGAUGAAAAUGAAAGAGGACAGUGCAAAAGUUGGCUUAAAACUCAACAUUCAAAAGACUACGAUCAUGGCAUCUGGUCCCAUCACUUCAUGGCAAAUAGAUGGGGAAACAACGAAAACAACAACAGACUGUUGGAGAAGGCUCUUGAGAGUCCCUUGGAUUGUGAGGAGAUCCAACCAGUCCAUCCUAAAGGAGAUCAGUCCUGAAAUUUCAUUGGAAGGACUGAUGCUGAAGCAGAAGCUCCAAUACUUUGGCCACCUGAUGAGAAGAACUGACUCAUUUGAAAAGACCCUGAUGCUGGGAAAGAUAGAAGGCAGGAGAAGAAGGGGAUGACAGAGGAUGAGAUGGUUGGAUGGCCUCACUGACUCGAUGGCCUCUCUUACUUAAGUUUGAGGAUCUUCCUGACCCAGGGACUGAACCUGUAUCUCCUGCAUUGGUAGACGAAUUCUGUACCACUGAGGCACCUGGGGUCCCCCAGGAACUUCUUCAUUCAUCCAGGGGCAUGGACCACCAAACCUGGGCCUCCUUGAAUGUGUCACUGGGCCCCAAAGGCCCUGGUGCAGUCCAUGCCAUCAAGACCAAGUCUACAGGUGGUAUAAGCAGGUGUCCCUGGCAGAGGGUCCUAGAACCCACAUGGGCCUGGCAAUCAGCGGCAGCAGUAUGACCUGUAUGUGGUGAGCAGCUGGUAUGUUCAGGAACUGUGCCAUGUGCCGGUGGCACGAAGGUGAAUGAGGCAGGCAGGCUGGUAUAUCUGGGUCCAGAAUUUGUGUGUAGUCAUUGCAGAGAGGCACAUCUGCAGAUCUGAGAACACUGGAUCUUGCUCACAUUCGGCCAGAGGAAGACUCCUGGG